GAAUUUCUGCAAAAAUUAAUGCUACACUAUUAAUUCUUUUAAAUGGAAUUAAAAUCAUGUAUCAGGAAUGAUAAAGAACUCUAUGGUUAUGGUGUAUUUACAACAAAUAAAUUUCUGAAAGGAGACUUUCUUUUACAGUACAGAGGUGAUGUUAUUAGUUUAAAUGAGGCAAAAUUGAGGUCCCAACAAUAUGAGAAUGAAGGAUUGGGUUGUUUUAUUUAUAAUGGGAUCAAAGAUAUUUAUGGUAAAUCUGUUUGCAUUGAUGCUACAAACCAACUAAGUUUCAUGGGAUGCAUGGUAAACGACUCACCUUCAAUAUAUGCUAAUGCAAAAAUGAAAAGAAUAGUUGAGUCUAGUCAUGUUAGUCUUUGUCUUUUCGCUACAAAAACAAUAGAUGUUGGCACUGAAUUAAGAUACGAUUAUGGUGAUGAAAGAAAGAAAAUGUUCUGGCGGACCAUGGCAUCAUGUUUACAGCCAUUAUGUUAUAACCAAGCUAAUUGUGUUGAAAUUGGAGCAAUAAAUAGGGAGAAAUUAGAUGUUUUGAAAGUUUCAUUGGAAAAGCCAUUAUUUGAUGAUUCUGACUCAGAAAUUGAAUAUCAAUAUCUUUCCACUGUUGAUAAUAUUACUGAAUCAAGUUUUACAAAAUGUGAUCUUAUUUUUGAAAAUGAAAACGAGUUAGUGUGUUUGUCACCAAACAAAGAAACAGAGUUUAUUGCUGUACUUCCUAGUUUAAUUACAACUCCUAUAAUUGAAAGAUGUGCUUCUUGGGAAGAACUAAAAACGUUUUCAGAAGCUUCCAAUAGUGAUGUUCCUAAAGAAGACCUAAAUUCAACAUGUGAUGAUUUUGGUAAAAUUACAAAAAAAUGUUUGAAUCUAAUUAAAACAUGUGGAGAAAUUGAGGUUGAGACCUCAAAACCAGAAACCAACAAGUACACAAAACCACCACGACUUUGUUUAUUUUGCAAAGUUCCUCAGACUCGGUUAAAACGCCAUAUUCUUUUAAAGCAUGGUACUGAAAUUUCGGUAUUGCCUCUUUUAAAUAUGAACUCUGUAGAUCAGAAUCGUUAUAUAGAAAUAUUUCGAAAGGAAGCUAUUAGAAAUCACAAUGUUUCACUGGUGGAAUCAGGUCAAACAUGUUUUAUUAGAGAAAGAAAGUCAAAAAUACAAAAUGAUGAACUCCCUCUUAUGUGUUGUGGGUGUAAAGGUUUCUAUUCAAGAAAGUAUAAAGCUCGUCACCAACUUGUUUGCCAAGGUACAAAUACCAAUCUAAUGAUACCUAUGGUUUCUAUAGCAAGUAAAGAUUAUGAAAAUUAUUCAAAUGAUUUUGUCAACCUUCUAAACACAUUACAACUGGAUGAUAUUGGAAAUUAUAUUAAAACUGACAAAAUCAUUUUAAUGAUUGGUUCUAGAUCUUAUAGCGCUCUUAAAAGAAAGAAAGAUAAAAUUUCAGAGACUAAAAGAUUGGUUCGUUCACGAAUGCGGUUAACUGCAAGAUUAUACUUAUCUUUUAAAAGUAUCUAUAGCAAUCAGAAAGCUGUUAAAAUAGAUAAUAUCUUAAAUAAUGCAGCUGACAUGUACUGUCGAGAAGUAAUCACCAUAGUUGGAGAAGCUAUUAAUUCUUUAUCAGAAAAAUCAAAUGAAGAUUCGGACCAUCUUUUAUUAAGUGCACAAAAAAGUGGCCUAAAAAUCAGUAUACUUAAUUUAUUAAAGUUAACAGCAAAAUUUUUGAUUGGUUACUUUUUAGUAAAAAAUGAUGAUUUGAAAUCUCAGAGAGUAGUUGACCUUUUAAAGGUUUUAAAGCUUUAUGAAGAUGAUUUAUUUGGUGAUGCUUAUUAUAAUCUAAAUUAUCGUAAAAAUAUUGAUUUGCGGAAACCAAUUAAUCUCCCAAAUGAAGCAGAUGUUCAACUGCUUAUUGAGGAAUGUAACAAAAUUAUGAAUUCUAUUGAUGAUUUUCAACAUCCAUGUGAAUCAUUUGUCACUAUCCGAUCUGCAACUGCCACAUGUUUGACUAUUUUUAAUGCCAGACGAGGUGGAGAACCUGUGCGGUUACACUUAUUUCAGUGGAAUGAGGCUUUAAAUGGAGAAUGGAUGGAUAAACAAGAUCUGCCUGAAGAAUUUGAUAUUGAGCAAAUGUUUAUCACUUAUCAAACAGGGAAAGGUUCGGAUCACACAGUUCCUGUUCUCUUUCCACCAGAAUGCAUAAAAGCAAUGCGAUAUUUGACAAACAAAGAAGUUAGGAAAAAUGCUGGAAUUCCUGAUGAAAACCAAUAUAUUUUUGCCAGUACCCAAAAAAGCAUGAGCCAUGCUAGUAGUUGGCAUUGCAUAAAUGAAGUAUUAAUUCGUUUAGAUAAAAAAGGUGCAAUUAAUGCCACCCAAAAUCGGCAUCGUAUUGCUACAAUCUUAGCAAAGCUGGAGUUAUCAGAAAAGGAAAAAACUUUAAUUUAUAAUCACUUUGGACAUUCAGAAAGAAUCAAUCAAAAUGUUUACCAAGCUGCUCCUGGAUCCUUACAAAUAAAAACAACAGGCAAAAGACUAAGAGCUAUUCAAGAAGUGACAAAGGUUGAUCUAACUCCAUUCAAGUCAAUUAUUUCUAAUUCAGCUGAACAAAACUUAAGCACUAUAGGAGAACAAGUAAUACCAACUGAUGUUAUUAGUUGAGUUGAUAACCAAAAAUGAUAGUAAACUGAAUAGUGGUUUAAAAAUUAGGCCAGUCCUUGAUUUAAAAAAAGUUAUAGAAAGUGAAACUGGAAGAAAAAAGUAUCCUAAAAGAUCUUUCCAUGAAG
rnacentral:misc_RNA from 1 species